GGAAGUGGCACUGUAGAUCAAGUAGUAGAGUGCUAGCCUUCUGCAAAAGCUCAGCGACAAUGCCCAGGCCCUGAGUUCAAGCCCCAGGACUAGCAAAUAAAUUAGUAAACAAGAAGGGGUUAAAGGAGAUGGGUAUAUCAAACACUAAAAUUUAAAUGGAAGAGUCAGAAAAUAAAGUUGAGGAUAUUUCCCCAAAAAGUGAGUAACAAAGAGAGAAUUAGACAAUAAUAGAGGGGGAAAAAAGCCAAUUAUGGCACAUGCCUAUAAUCUCAGCACUCAAGAGGUGAAAGCAAGAGGAUCCAGAGUUCAAUAUUAGCCUGGGGUACAUGGUGAGACCCUAUU